GCCUCCGUGUGGGUUCCAGGCUUUGCUUCCCGGAGCGGUUUGCAAGCGGACGGCGUGAGAGGAGGAACUCGCAGAGGUAAUUCGGCAGCACUGCUGACCCGUCGACGCCCGCAGCAACGGUUUGGCGGGACAGAUGCGGCCCUUGGACGUCGUCGAGCUGGCAGAGCCGGAGGAGGUGGAGGUGCUGGAGCCCGAGGAGGAUUUCGAGCAGUUCCUGCUGCCCGUCAUCAACGAGAUGCGGGAGGACAUCGCGGCGCUGACCCGGGAGCACGGCCGGGCGUACCUGCGGAACCGGAGCAAGCUGUGGGAGAUGGACAAUAUGCUCAUCCAAAUCAAAACGCAGGUGGAGGCCUCGGAGGAGAGCGCCCUGAACCAUCUUCAGAAUCCCGACGAGGGAGUCGAGGGCAGAGGGACCAAACGGUGCGAGAAGGCGGAGGAGAAGGCCAAGGAGAUCGCGAAGAUGGCAGAGAUGUUGGUGGAGCUGGUCCGGCGGAUAGAGAGAAGCGAAUCGUCGUGAAGGAGGGCGGGCGGUUGCAGAAAUCUGGGACUCAGUGUCUUGAUGGCAAAUUUCUGCCAGUUGUGCGUCGGGUGCACAGCUCAUGGACUCUGGUCACCUGAUACAUCCUGUGCUUUCCUUUCCCCAACGCUGGGCCUGUGGCUGGCUGUUUCUUCAAUCACCAUCUUAAUCCAGUGAUCAAAGUGGACAUGACCAGAAAUGGGACAGACCGACACUGCGUGCCAUCUGAUAAGAUGCCGUGAGAAGAGCAUCGCAUCACUGCUGGGACAUUCUUGCCAAAGGUACACAACCCAGGCCCAGUCACGAGCAAACCUCAGACAACCUCAACUCGAAGGAAAUUCUGCAAAAUUAUUAGCUCGUAAUCCUCAAAAGUGUCGAGGUCAUGCAAGUCUGGGAAAGGCGGUGUAAACGUGAUCCCUUUGCUCUAUAAAAGACCUUAUUAGGAACAAUUGGCUGGGCAGGGUGCCUGGGUGGCUCAGUCAGAGGAGCCUCCGACUUGGGCUCAGGUCAUGAUCUCACGGUUCGUGGGUUCGAGCCCCGCAUGGGGCUCUGUGCUGACAGCUCGGAGCCUGGAGCCUGCUUCGGAUUCUGUGUCUCCCUCUCUCUCUCUGCCCCUCCCCCCUCCACUUGUGCUGUGUCUCUCUCUCUCUCAAAAAGAAACAGGAAAACAAAAAAGAACAGUUGGCAAAACUUGAACCGGGUCUUGAGAUGAGAUGGCGGUAAUGGGUUGGGGUGCGUUUUCUGACGGCGGCGGCUGCCCCCUGAUCACGUAGGGGGUUGCAGCUUGGAGGACAUUCACUGAAGUCUUCAGGGGGCAGAUCAGCAGAUCAGCGGCUUAUUCUCAGAUCCUGCGGAAAAAUAAAAUUCUUUAUACUCUG